ensembl:lncRNA novel transcript
GGAAGAUCCGGAUAGUGCAUCCCGGCCACGGCGCGCCUGCUCUGGGCUCUCCGCGUGCCGCGUCGCUUUCUUUUCUUCCUCUGGAGCAGUUAUGGCGGCGGCGAAGACCCUGAACCCCAAGGCCAAGGUGGCCGGAGCGCAGGCGGCGCUGGCGUUCAACAUUAGCGGGGCGCGGGGUCUGCAGGACGUGCUGAGGACCAACCUGGGGCCCAAAGGGACCAUAAAGAUCAAAUUCAACACCCAACAGCUUCCUUAAUAGCAAAGGUAGCAACAGCCCAGGAUGAUAUAACUGGUGAUGGUACGACUUCCAAUGUCCUAAUCAUUGGAGAGCUGCUGAAACAGGCAGAUCUCUACAUUUCUGAAGGCCUUCAUCCCAGAAUAAUCACUGAAGGAUUUGAAGCUGUGAAGGAAAAGCCCUUCAUUUUUUGGAAGAAGUCAAAGUAAGCAGAGAGAUGGACAAGGAAACACUUAAAGAUGUGGCCAGGGCAUCUCUUUGUACUAAAGUUCAUGCUGAACUUGCAGAUGUCUUAACAGAGGCUGUAGUGGGCUCCAUUUUGGCCAUUAAAAGAAAAGAUGAACCUAUUGAUCUCUUCAUGAUUUUGUGAUCAUUGACAAGAAACAUAAAUCUGAAACUGAUACAAGAGAAGUGAAUUCUGGCGUUUUUUACAAGAGUGCAGAAAGAGAAAAACUCAUAAAAGCUGAAAGAAAAUUCAUUGAAGAUAGAGUUAAAACAAAUAAUAGAACUGAAAAGGAAAGUCUGUAGUAAUUCAGAUAAAGGAUUUGUUAUUAAUCAAAAGGGAAUUGACCCCUUUUCCUUAGAUGCUCUUUCAAAGAAGGCAUAGUCGCUCUUCACAGAGCUAAAAGGAGGAAUAUGGAGAGGCUGACUCUUGCUUGUGGUGGGGUGGCCCUGAAUUCUUUUGAGGACCUAAGUCCUGACUGCUUGAGACAUGCAGGACUUGUAUAUGAGUAUACAUUGGGAGAAGUUCACCUUUAUUGAGAAGUGUAACAACCCUCGUUCUGUCACAUUAUUGAUCAAAGGACCAAAUAAGCCCACACUUAGAUCAAAGAUGCAGUAAGGGAUGGCUUGAGGGCUGUCAAAAAUGCUAUUGAUGAUGGCUGUGUGGUUCCGGUGCUGGUGCCGUGGAAGUGGCAAUGGCAGAAGCCCUGAAUAAAUAUAAGCUCAGUGUAAAGGGCAAGGCACAGCUUGGAGUCCAAGCAUUUGCUGAUGUGUUGCUCGUUAUUCCCAAGGUGAGCCCGUGGUAGCAGCAGAAGCAGGCAUUAUGGGAUAACGAUUGUGUAAAGAAACAGCUUCUUCAUUCCUGCACUGGUUGCCACCAACAUUCUCUUGGUUGAUGAGAUCAUGCGAGCUGGAAUCUUCUCUGAAAGGUUGAAUUGAAGCUUCCUCUGUAUCUGAGUCUUGAAGACUCUGCAAAGUGAUCCUGAAGAAUACAGCUGUGGAAUUUUUGUCCAAGCUUCAAAUGAGUUUCAAGGGAAUUUUCCCAUGUGAAAAAAGGAGAGAACACUGGCAUCUGUUGAAAUUCGGAAGUUCUGAAAUUAUAAUCACAGUAUUUUUUAAAAAUUGCACUGAAGUGUACACAGAUAAAGCAGGUCUUUCACCCAGUGAACAGGAUGUUUUGCUUUAGCAGCAGUGACAUAAAAUUCCAUGUUAAAUAAGCAUAUAUUACCUACCUUAUUAAAUAUUCCUUGAAAAAGCAGAUUUUAAUGGUUUAAUUUUAUGUGGACAUAUGUUAAAUUAUUCAGCAGUACCCUAUUGUUAAGCAUCUGGUUUUAAAAUUUUUAUGCUAAUAUAAAUAACGCUUAGUAAUUUAAAAUUUUGGAAGCAUCCCGUUAGUGUAAAUUUCUGAGUAAAUUUAUUGAUCAGUUGGACUUUUCACGCUUUUGAAAUAGCUUUGCUAAAAUGCUCCCCCUACAAAGUUGUAGGAAAUGGGAAGAGGAGUAAACUAGAGGCAAGGGAGUUGAGAGAGCUGGAAGGCAUGGUGGCUAAGGGCUACGGUUAUCAGGUGAAAUUUGAGAUUUGUAGGCUGACUAUAUUUUCAAGCUUCUGAACUUUUGCUUAUGCAAAAUAUUCAUCCCAAAGCCUCUAGCGUCAUAGUUUCCUCACCCAAAUUACUAUGUUUCCACAAGAUUUAUAUAGUUGGUCUAUCUCUGCGGUCCUUGAAAGUGAAGUUGGUGUUACUAGGCUGUGGGUUUUGGGGGCUCAGCAGUGACCUGGAGUGUGCAAAUAAAUGUUAAGUUGAAACCUC